CCCGCUGAACUUAAGCAUAUCAAUAAGCGGAGGAAAAGAAACUAACAAGGAUUCCCCUAGUAACUGCGAGUGAAGCGGGAAAAGCUCAAAUUUGAAAUCUGGCGGCCCCGCCGUCCGAGUUGUAUUCCGGAGAAGCGUUUUCCGCGCCAGACCGCAUACAAGUCUGUUGGAAUACAGCGUCAUAGUGGUGAGAACCCCGUACGUGAUGCGGAUGCCUGGUGCUUUGUGAUACACUUUCGAAGAGUCGAGUUGUUUGGGAAUGCAGCUCAAAUUGGGUGGUAAAUUCCAUCUAAAGCUAAAUAUUGGCGAGAGACCGAUAGCGAACAAGUACCGUGAGGGAAAGAUGAAAAGCACUUUGGAAAGAGAGUUAACAGUACGUGAAAUUGUUGGAAGGGAAACGCUUGAAGUCAGACUUGCUAUGUGGAGUUCAACCGCAAGGUGUAUUCUUCGCUUCGCAGGCCAGCAUCAGUUUUCGGGGGUGGAAAAGGGUAGAGAGAAGGUAGCUGUCUCGGCAGUGUUAUAGCUCUUUACUGGAUUCAUCCUUGGGGACUGAGGAACGCAGUACGCUUUUUGCAAGGCUCUCGGGCUUUUCCGUACUUAGGAUGCUGGUGGAAUGGCUUUAAACGACCCGUCUUGAAACACGG
rnacentral:rRNA from 1 species